rnacentral:rRNA from 1 species
GACGAACGCUGGCGGCGUGCUUAACACAUGCAAGUCGAACGGAAAGGCGCUGCUUUUGUGGGGUGCUCGAGUGGCGAACGGGUGAGUAAAACGUGAGUAAACUGCCCUUGACUUUGGGAUAACUUCAGGAAACUGGGGCUAAUACCGGAUAGGAGAUCCUGCUGCAUGGUGGGGGUUGGAAAGUUUCGGCGGUUGGGGAUGGACUCGCGGCUUAUCAGCUUGAUGGUGGGGUAGGGGCUUACCAAGGCUUUGAAGGGUAGCCGGCCUGAGAGGGUGACCGGCCACAAUGGGACUAAGAUACGGACCAGAAGCCUACGGGAGGCAGAGGUGGGGAAUAUUGCACAAUGGGCGGAAGCCUGAUGCAGCAACGACGCGUGCGGGAUGACGGCUUUCGGGUUGUAAACCGCUGUCGCCUGUGACGAAGCGUGAGUGACGGUAAUGGGUAAAGAAGCACCGGCUAACUACGUG